GCGAUCAUACCUGCACUAAUGCACCAGAUCCCAUCAGAACUUCGAAGCUAAGCGUGCUUGGGCGAGAGCAGUACUAGGAUGGGUGACCCCCUGGGAAGUCCUCGUGUUGCACCU
rnacentral:rRNA from 1 species